rnacentral:pre_miRNA from 1 species
CUUGUACUCCCUCCGUCCGAAAAUACCUGUCAUUGAAAUGGAUGUAUCUAGAUGUAUUUUAGUUCUAGACACAUCCAUUUUGAUGACAAGUAAUUCCGGACGGAGGGAGUACUUG